GAAACCUGGAAGUGGAAAUCUCGGGCAUUCACCGUUUGGGUGAAGACGGAGGCGGGUUCUGGACAGACGUAGGCUGUCAGGGAGUGUUUACUUCGCCUCCACUUCUGUUCCUCCCUGCCCUGGUGCUGCUCCAGGUCACAUACUCGUCCUGAGCCGGCUUCAGCCUGUCCGCGCAGAAGUCUCCCGGAGCCAUGGCCUAGUACUCUUAUGUGAAGUCUAGCAAGCUCGUGCUCAAGGGAACCGAGGUGAAGAGCUGGGUCCUGCAGCUCUGAUUUGCCUGAGGUUGACUGUACAUACAAAUAUUGAGCAUUUCCUCCUGGCCUCCGUGAUAAACAGGGGUUUUGAUAUUGUUAGGCGAGAUGGAAAGAAAGUAUCAAGGAGUGAGCUGAAGCCACUGCCCUUGAGAACCCUCUCGAGGAGUCUGGCCUCAUGAAGAUGCCAGAAUAAGUGGCAG
rnacentral:lncRNA from 1 species